CGCGUGCUGCUGCGUGCCGCCCCUGCCUGCUGCAGCCGGCACCCGUCACGGCGCCGCCAACGCCCCUCCGCCGUGCGCCUUCCCCACCCCUGCAGAUCGAGCGGGGGCGCUCCCGAAAACGUUUCAUUCAAGAGGCCUGCAGAUCGAGCGGGGGCGCUCCCGAUUAGAUCGGGAGCAGGACAACGACAGCGGCGGCAAGCACACUCCCCGGGCGUGAGGAGGAUAAGGAGGGGAGGCAGGGCCGCAUGCGUCGGAUGCGCGCCCUCGCCUGCAGUCGACACAGACGCAUUGGCAGUCUAUGGAGGCUCAGGUCGAUGCAGGCGGACGAGGGGAGGGAUCGUGAGGGCCCUUUGCUGCACCGGCGCACACACGCGUGAGCUGUUUCUCUGUUGUCGGACGGCUGCAGGAGGUGGCCAGCCUCGCCGGUCGAUCCCAACCACCGCGUGUUGCUGCUGCCGAUGUCGACAGCCAGACCAUCCAUUGGCGUGAGAUCGAGGGACGGAGUGCUAAGGCCCGCGAGGUGCUGGAGCAGAUUCUUCAGAUGGCAGAGUUGAGCGACCCACACACAAUGCCAGAUGUGCUCAAGUGAAGCCAUGGAUCCGGUCCAUCCAUCUCAGAGCAUAUGAAUCAAGAGAGUAUCCAUCAUGUUCAAGUGAUUUUAGGUGAUUAAUUAGCAUGAGCAUACGAGCGUCUUGCGCCCAAGGUGUAUACAUGUUCACGUAGUCAGCUCUUCAUUUACCAAUCGCCAAGCUCUGAUCUAUUUCAUCCUUCCACAACCAUCAGCACCCCUAAGCACCGGAGCAGAGCAAGGCUGCGCUGCGGCACCUUUAUCCCUGAUAAGCAAUGGAUCCCUUUCUCAGAGUUUGCAUCGUUGUUUGCUUAGAUUUGCCAUCGUAUCACCGUCAAACCUGUGCUACUUUUAGGCUGCUCGGUUCAUGAUUUCCUCCAUUAUAACGCCAUCUUCGGUCAAAGCGUUAGCAUGAUAGAAUGGAAUUUGAAAUUUGUUAGUGGUUUCGUUUUGGCGAACCAGCCUGGGCUAGAUCACAUCGUGUGCUAAAACUGUCCACUUUUGUUCAUUACUAUGUUCCUCUUAUCAGUAAGAUCUAUUUGUGCUUGUUCAUAGUUGAUCAAAAGGUAAAGCUUCACUGUUGCUGCUGCUUUUGAUGUUUUUUACCCAUAUAUCAAUUUGCAAUCAACAUCCAUUUUUUCCUUCAAAUGGUCAAAUGUCGCCUUAAUAUUGCAGGAUACCAGUCUCGUGCUGAUGCUUCCUAGCUGUAGAUCUGACGGUUUGUUGUUUUUGUUGAUAUAGGCCAAGGCAAAUGACUACCGUUCUAGGAUCUCUGGUCUGGGAGCUUGUGAAGAAGAACAAUUGCUAUUGAUCUAGCAGUUUGGCAACAACAACGCCAAGGUCCAGUUCCGCAAGGAGCCUAAUAACCUCUACAAUGCUUAGUGAACAACAAGACCAUGACGGUCCAUCUAUCAGCGGGAGAGGACAAGGAUGGUGUCCUGUCCACGAAUAAGACCAAGCAGGACACCCCUACCAAGCUGCAGCUCAAGCCUUUAAUGUGCAAGUAGUUCGGCAAGAUAGCCAAGCCUAUCAAGAACCAGCUAUGGAAACGCCAUCCAUCUGCUCCGCUCACAUCACCGCCACUCCGUCGCAAGUACUGCAAGACGGGGAGGGGCGCUUGGUGUUUGCCUCAGGCGAGCGGUGUGUGCUCCAACAGGCGGGCUCGCCGGUUGCAAUGGAGCAGUGCUGGAGUCCCUCGGAGCUGCGACGGAGCAUCACCGGGGUCGAAUGAUGGUGCAGUGAUCUGUCUAUCUCCCUCUCAAUCCAGGAGUCAAGGUAUCGAAUUCCUUUGAUUUCAGUAUGGGUAAGCAGUGGAGGACUCCCGAAGACGAUAACGAUUUGCCGUUAGACGAGAAAGAAGAAGAAGUACCGUCUAGCGAAGAUGCACUGUUAGACAAACAUGUACCGCUAGAUGAAGAAGAAGAAGAUGUAAACCUAGACGAAGAAGAAGAUGUCCAGCAUGCUCAUCACGAGGACGCCUACCCCGGCCCCUCUAUUGAAACCUCUCCACAGUCGCAGGAUGUGGAUAAGCAGUGGAGGACCCUCGAGGACGAAGACGAUCUGCCGUUAGACGCAGAAUGCACCGUUUGACGAAGACGAUCUACCACCUUAUUUCGUCAAACUUUGGGAUGGUGCCCGUUUCGACAAUGAACUUAGUCGACCGCACAACCAAUCGAAUCGAAUCACAAAACAUGUUGGGUUUAGUCCCACAUCGGUUGUGGGAGGAGACAUAACACGACUUAUAAAGGUGAGGGUGUUCCCUCCUAAAAGGCUAGUAUUUUGGGGGGAGAGGGCACAAGGCCUUUCAUAAAUCGGUGUUGCUCUUUGAUUGAGCCUGUUGAGGCAUGUGGGUCGGAAACGCUGGUGUUAGCGGACCCGGGAUUGCGUAACAAGUGGUAUCAGAACCCAAAUGUCCGGAAUAAAUCUUGAUGGACUCACGGAUGGUCGGUCAUGAUAGGAGAAGUCCAACUCACCAACUGAGGGAGCUGGCCUAUUAAACCUACAAUGUCCACAAGUUUUGACACAAGGUUGGAGACUUGGGAUGAUCCCACUCCAAGGAAAUUAAAAUCUAUUACUGUGAAGGAUUUUGACGCAGCUUUUGCUAAGGGUUGUGUGGAGCUUGUUAGGAAAAUUAGAGAGGAUGAUCGCAAGAGGGUGAUGAUGGCACUUGAAGUCUAUACCAAGCGAAAUAACAUGCAGUGAAAGGACUUGAUGGUAAGCAAACAACGUUUUUUGCUGAAUCGCGUCUUAAGAUCAUCGAUGAGAAAGAUGUUCUUCUCUGCACGCCUUUGGGAGAGGAUGACUUCAAGCUAUCAAAAGAGAAUGACCAAGCCUGUUGUAAAGGGUGCGAAGAUCGGGCUAAAGGUCUCAUACAUCCCUGUUGUGGUAGCCAUUUAGUUGGACAUAAUGAAGAGCCUGAUGAGGAUUGGAUGUAGUGAGAUGUUUAUGGAAAAUCCACCUUAGAGCUCGCCAUCCAUGGAGCCUGAAGUUGGACAAUUAAAAAAAUAUCACUUCUAAGUUUUAGAAAAUUCUGAAAAAACCCCCAUUAUAUGCAUAGGGAUGUAAUAUACAUGUGUGUAAAAUUAUUUGUGCGGCUCCUCUUGGUUUGGCGUAUGGACCCGAUUGCUUUUUGCAAGAAAAAAUCAUAAUGACCUGAUUGAACUUAUAGGGAACUGAUUGUUUUUUAACUUAUAGGGACUCCAUUGCUUUUA